CGGAUUGCAGUCUGAAACUCGAGUGCAUGAAGCUGGAAUUGCUAGUAAUCGCAAAUCAGAAUGUUGCGGUGAAUACGUUCCCGGGUCCUUGUACACACCGCCCGUCACACCAUGGGAGUUGGAAAUGCCCGAAGUCAGUGACCCAACCUAAGGGAGGGAGCUGCCGAAGGCAGGUUCGAUGACUGGGGUGAAGUCGUAACAAGGUACC
rnacentral:rRNA from 1 species